AUGAGAAGGAGCAGAACAUUCAGUCCACCAGCCAAGAUGAUAAGCUCAUGCAGACCAUGAACCUGACCCAGAAGAGACUGGACAUAUAACUGCAGGAGUUCGAGCUGCUCUAUUUCUCUCUGAGCAGCGCUCCGAUCUUCUUCAGAGCUGAUAAAACGGCAGCCGAGGAGACCCAGGAGAAGAAGGACGGAGACAAAGUUGCCAAAACUGGUCUUAGUUCCUCAACGAUUGAGGGUUCUCCUGGGGAAACCAGCACCAAGUGAAACUACAGAGCAGCUUGGACGAUAUAAAUCACUUCAACAGCAUGGACUCACUCCAGAGGAGGUUAUAAACAUUGACCCUCCAGCCACUAUUCUUCUGUUGGAGUCUGUACAGCGUCUUGAAAUCAUUUUGGCAUUAUGCCACCUGCACUCGUUCGACUGGAACUGACUGUGGAUUUGGAUCAAUGCUUCGGUUUUAGACCAUGAUUGUUUUAUGUAUCGACAAUGACAUUCAACCGCCGUUUUGUCAAGCAUUAUAUGCGGUCAUGUAAAUUCAAGAGAUGUGAUUAGUAGAUGAAGGCAUCUGUAUUUUUUUAUUUUCUCUCUCUCUCUUAACAAUGUUGAUUGUUGGGCACAGAUAUUUUUAUAUGAUGGAACUGGUCCUUAGAAUAUAUUUUUAUUUAGAUAAAGAAAUUGUUUUAGAUUUUUUUUUUUCUUUUUAGAUAAUUACAUUUAAAAGAAAUCCAAAGAACUGAUUAUAUUUCACACAAGAAUGGAAAUUCUGUCAUGUCAUUUCAAACCUAUAGGAUUUUUAAAAUAAUUUAUUGUUCCAUUCUAUGGGAACCAAAAGGGUUAGUUUGGACCGCAUUGACUUGAAUUAUUCUGACAAAAACAGUUCUUCAAAAGAAUCAUUUUUUAUGUUGCUCGGAAGGAACAUUUUAGAUUUUGAAUGAAAAAAGGGUGAGUAAACAGACACUUAGUUUUUGCUUGAUCUUUUCUUUUAAAGUUGAAUAAUGUGAAACUAUUUUCUUGUGUCAAAAGUUUUAAUUAACCAAUGAUUUUCUGGCCAAAACUCAUUCAACACCGUCAUUUUUAUAAAAUGUAGCACACUAACAUAUUCUGUUUAGUCUAUUUGUGCUGCCUAAAAUAUAUUGCAAUGUGUCCGACAGUAAAAAUUUGUCCUUGCUCACUGUGAUGGAGGAAGUUGAAUUGCACUUGCCUUAAAGCUGCUGCAGUCUUACAGUAUUCAGUGAUUGAAUAACAAAUAACACAGCAGUUUCUUCACAUCAGUUACAAUCCAUCUGAUUUUUCUGACAUUUGCAAG